AUGAUAUCAAUGUGUUGCAACGGUCUCAUUUGUUUGCUAGACUUGCUAGUGGUGAUGCUCCUGCUUGCAACUACACUAUCAAUGGGCAUGAAUAGAAAAAAGGGUACUAUCUUGCAGAUGGUAUAUACCCUCCUUGAAAGAGCAUUCAGGGUUUUGCAAUCUAGGUUUGCCAUUGUUCGUGGUCCUGCUCGUUUUUGGGACAAGCGGACCUUGAACAACAUCAUGACAUGCUGUGUUAUUCUUCACAACAUGAUUCUCGAAGAUGAGAGAGGCAUGAACUUGGAAUUCUUUUACGACAAUGUAGGCAGCCGUGUCAAACUAGUUAGAGACCCUAACCGCAUUAGAGCUUUUCUUCAAACAUACAAGGAGAUUGAAAAUGCAAACACCCACUUUCAGCUUCAGAAGGAUCUCAUUGAGCACCAUUGA
rnacentral:rRNA from 1 species